GAUGAACGCUGGCGGCGUGCCUAACACAUGCAAGUUGAGCGAUUUACUUCGGUAAAGAGCGGCGGACGGGUGAGUAACGCGUGGGUAACCUACCCUGUACACACGGAUAACAUACCGAAAGGUAUGCUAAUACGGGAUAACAUAUUUGAGAGGCAUCUCUUAAAUAUCAAAGGUGAGCCAGUACAGGAUGGACCCGCGUCUGAUUAGCUAGUUGGUAAGGUAACGGCUUACCAAGGCGACGAUCAGUAGCCGACCUGAGAGGGUGAUCGGCCACAUUGGAACUGAGACACGGUCCAA
rnacentral:rRNA from 1 species